GUGCGAAUGCUGACAUAAGUAACGAUAAAGCGGGUGAAAAGCCCGCUCGCCGGAAGACCAAGGGUUCCUGUCCAACGUUAAUCGGGGCAGGGUGAGUCGACCCCUAAGGCGAGGCCGAAAGGCGUAGUCGAUGGGAAACGGGUUAAUAUUCCCGUACUUGGUGUUACUGCGAAGGGGGGACGGAGAAGGCUAUGUUGGCCGGGCGACGGUUGUCCCGGUUUAAGCGUGUAGGUGUGUGUUCCAGGUAAAUCCGGUUCACUUUAACACUGAGGCGUGACGACGAGGCACUACGGUGCUGAAGCAACAAAUGCCCUGCUUCCAGGAAAAGCCUCUAAGCAUCAGGUAACAUCAAAUCGUACCCCAAACCGACACAGGUGGUCAGGUAGAGAAUACCAAGGCGCUUGAGAGAACUCGGGUGAAGGAACUAGGCAAAAUGGUGCCGUAACU
rnacentral:rRNA from 1 species